GUGCUUGCUUCAGCAGCACAUAUACUAAAAUUGGAACGAUACAAAGAAGAUUAGCAUGGCCCCUGUGCAAGGAUGACACAUCAAAUAAUAAAAAAAAAAAAGCGAAA